rnacentral:lncRNA from 1 species
AAAAAAAUAUAAUUAUCUAACUUCAAUUUCAUGCAAAGUUUUUUGUUCCCUUCUACAGGAGUCGUGGCGGGUCAACCGCUGCCGCGCUCUCCGUCAUCCGAGAUUACGAUUAAAAAACACAUAAAAUGUUGUUAAAAAAAAGGGUGACAAAUAAAUUAGGAUUUUUUAAAACAAUUAAUUAAUAAUUGAGAUAAAAACAGAAAUGACUGACGAAUUCCGCAAUUGAGUGAAUAACGUCAUAGCGUGCUUCUUGACUUGGGCAAAAGUUGUGGUCCCCAUAAUACUGAUGAUGUUAUUGGAUAAAUCUCCACCGUUGAAUCGGUCCCCAAGUUACCCCUCCCGUUUCCACCGUCCAAUUUGUCAUCUCUCUUAAUCGUUCUCCUCGUGAUUCGGACUCAGGCGUCUUACCGAAGUGCGUCCGAUUCACGGAUCCGCAACACCAAAGAAGUUCAACAUGUUACCAACCACACACUCCAUGCUCAGAUCAGGAUAUCUUUGUUCAUCCGUCGGAUAUUCAUAAUUUGAUAUCACUUCAUUAUUAACGUUAGGUACGGUGAGGGUGAGACACAUGUGAUUAUUUUCCUAACAGUAUGAUCAGCAGUGCAGCAGAGACCUCGUGAAAAGUAAAAAAGGAAGAACGACACGGAUGUGAUGACACACACCAAACAAUCAGCUGUAUCAUGUGAUUGCUUUUAACAUGGGCACUUAAACACGUGGGCCCACUUUGGAAAACGUAUCAGUCUUUCUAGAUACCAAUACCAAACUGGGGAAAGGGAAAUCAGUAAAUACCCAAAAUCGGCACGACAUAAUUGAUUGAAAUACAAAGGCGCCAAGCCACGUGGAGACGUUCAAAGAAGGGCAAGUUGACAUGUUUGAUUUUCGAGGAGCGGCUAAGAGCUGACGCGGCGCCCAAUUUGUAGACCGUUUAAUUGGCAACGAUGGGUAACGUUGGAUAACUUGGACGGGGCGGGUCCUGACACAUUAUAAUACUCAUAUGACCCAUGAAUGUGUAAAUUAAUUGCUAAGGGUUAUUUUAGUUUUUUAUUUUAGUCGUUGGUUAUCCAAUGAGUCGGCUCGGCUGCGUUUGGCUCUUUUAAGCUGAUAUAAGCCAGCUUUCUUUAUAACGCCCUUUAUGGCCUCAUCGGCAAGCACCGGUGCUAUCAAGAUUUUAAUUUGAAAAAAGAAAAACAAAACACAUAAAUUGAAGGAGAUUGUAAUAUUAUAUCACUGAAAUCGAUGAGGCCAAUAGCAGGACUAUAAUUGAGAAAUUAUAAACAUAGUAUGCUAGAAAAAAAAAUAUGUGAUACUAAUUCUACCCAUGCCAACGAGAUAUAUAUAAAUUUAUCGAGUAUAAGAGGUUUUAUAUAUUCUCUGAAUUAUGUUAUAAUAUUCUA